rnacentral:lncRNA from 1 species
AUUUUAGUUCUGAAAAGAGAAGUUCCACUCACCUCUGGCUGACUCUGGACUACCUCUGCAGGUUCUGAACCUGUGCUCACUGCUGACUUCCCUGAUUCCUCUGGUCCGUUCCUACACAGGUGGACUCAAAUGAGGGACCAAACUAACUCAAGAACCGCUCUAAGAAACUCCCUAAAAGCCCUCGAAAAGAUCCUAAAACAAUCACAUAAAACAUGCAAAAGAAAGCUGGACAGGGCACUUUCGGCGGCAUGUUCAGGGGCAAGCUUUGGCAGCCGAAACUGCCUCCACAAGGGGUUCGGCGGCCGAACCUGGCUUUGUCCAGUGGACAGAACCCUGCUCUGUUUCAUGCAUAACUCACCCAAACCUUACCUAAACAUGCAUAUCAACUACUCCCAACUAGCACAUACCAUAUAACAUGCAUAAAGAGGUCCAAAACUAGCCUAAAUCCUCAAACAAACACAUCAAACA